rnacentral:rRNA from 1 species
CCUACGGGGGGCAGCAGUGGGGAAUAUUGGACAAUGGGCGAAAGCCUGAUCCAGCCAUGCCGCGUGUGUGAAGAAGGCCUUCGGGUUGUAAAGCACUUUCAGUGGGGAAGAAAGCCUUGGGGCUAAUACCCUCGAGGAAGGACAUCACCCACAGAAGAAGCACCGGCUAACUCCGUGCCAGCAGCCGCGGUAAUACGGAGGGUGCGGGCGUUAAUCGGAAUUACUGGGCGUAAAGCGCGCGUAGGCGGUCUGAUAAGCCGGUUGUGAAAGCCCCGGGCUCAACCUGGGAACGGCAUCCGGAACUGUCAGGCUAGAGUGCAGGAGAGGAAGGUAGAAUUCCCGGUGUAGCAGUGAAAUGCGUAGAGAUCGGGAGGAAUACCAGUGGCGAAGGCGGCCUUCUGGACUGACACUGACGCUGAGGUGCGAAAGCGUGGGUAGCAAACAGGAUUAGAUACCCCAGUAGUC